GAUGAACGCUGGCGGCGUGCCUAAUACAUGCAAGUCGAGCGAACGGACGAGAAGCUUGCUUCUCUGAUGUUAGCGGCGGACGGGUGAGUAACACGUGGAUAACCUACCUAUAAGACUGGGAUAACUUCGGGAAACCGGAGCUAAUACCGGAUAAUAUUUUGAACCGCAUGGUUCAAAAGUGAAAGACGGUCUUGCUGUCACUUAUAGAUGGAUUCGCGCUGCAUUAGCUAGUUGGUAAGGUAACGGCUUACCAAGGCAACGAUGCAUAGCCGACCUGAGAGGGUGAUCGCCGACCCUGGAACUGAGACGCGGACCAGACGCCUACGGGAGGCAGCAGUAGGGAAUCUUCGGCAAUGGGCGAAAGCCUGACGGAGCAACGCCGCGUGAGUGAUGAAGGUCUUCGGAUCGUAAAACUCUGUUAUUAGGGAAGAACAUAUGUGUAAGUAACUGUGCACAUCUUGACGGUACCUAAUCAGAAAGCCACGGCUAACUACGUG
rnacentral:rRNA from 1 species